ensembl:lncRNA
CACACACGCACGCACACACGCACACUUUGAAUGGAGGACACAAAAAUGUGGUUGAGUCGUUCUUUACUGAAAAUCUAUUAUUUACAAGGAAAACAUUUAAAGGCAACAAAAGAUACAAUUCAUAAACAUUAAUAUUUAGUUGGUGAAAAAGAGUUAUCGUUAGUACAAAAAUAACUUUUUGUAUCGACAUCUUUUGCUCAGGAGACGCCGUUAUUUCAUGAUUUGUGAAUAAUGGCCGAUUUUGUUUUUGGCAGUAGUUUCUGACAAUUGAUUCAUACAAUGUUUGACACUAUCAACCUAGUUUUGAUGUUUCAUCAGAACAAGGCGUUACGUGUGUUCAGAACACAUUUACGCCGUACAAUACGAUGGGACAAGUGGAGAGGGUUGUCUUUCAAUCCAACAAACAAGAUUCAAAACAAAACAACAUACAUAACUUACGACAAUGUGCACCCUGUUGCACUAGUGCAUUAGUGAGGUGUCCUCUGAAUAUGUUAGAAGUGAUAGAUGAAUAAGGAAGAAGAAGACGGCCAUAAGAGUUUCAAACAUGGUAGUCCAUAUGCCCUUUUACAGCUUUGAAACCAUCACCCUUUGUCUUAUCUCUAGGACCCUAAUGACCUAUUUACUGAGAGUCAUCUCAAUGGUAUUAACCCAGAGUAAAACACAAUUUACCCUUCUGGAAAAGGGUAUCUUUAGUAUUAAAACAAACAUCUGGUGAGAUAAAAAGCAUGUUUAAGAGCCACUCUUGCCCCUUUAAUAUGCACUGUGUCGCUAGCAGAAAUCUCUUUUAAUAAAGAAAGAGAUUCAGGGUGCGGUUUCUGGAAGCUAACCGAUCUAACAUAGACAGGAGCUGUGGACUAUUUACAGGUCUCUCUUAAGCGUGGGUCAGCCUUUCACAACAAGAUCUAUAACCAAACCAAACCCAAAGCGUAUAGGAGGCAUAUACAGAUUAUUGAAUUAAAUCACUCUCAAGUGCACUGUUCUGACGGAAGCGAAUCCACAAGAAUUUACAGAUUUGAUAAAAAAACGAAAAACUGAUUUGCAAAACUGAUCGGAGGAAUAGAAGGAUGAUUUUUAGUUUUUGGCAUGUUCAGUGGGUUUGUUAGCGAUCACAGCAAGCCGGCAAACAAACCAGGAGGGAUAAACUAAUCAACUAGUCUGGGUGUGCAAAAGCAUCCUGGUCCACGGACCGACUCUCUCCCCCCAGCCCUGAACCUUCAAACACUCACACAGGUUCGCCUUCUACACAGUCUGUCUCUUCAGCUGGACUGUCUGACCGCUGACCCCGCCCUACUGCACGAUCUGAGGCAUCUCGCUCCAGGCCUUGGCCUUCUUCUUGGCCAGGGCCAUCCAGGGGCUCGUCCUGGGGCAGGCCCGGUGGGGGGACGCGCGCCGGCUGCCAGCUGGCCCCGAGGCGGGGCCACGGGGUGGGGCCCGGGGCCGCCGCCGCAGCCUGGGAGGCAGCGGUGGGUUUGGACGAGGUGGGGGGCAGCGAGGCGGCGGCGACGGCGACGGGCGGCGG